GCGGGCAGGCGCAGGACCCCGGCGCUGCCGGACCCGGCGGGGUCCCCGAGCUCCGCGGCGCCCGCUCCGGCUGCCCCCCUCCUGGAGAGGGCUGCCCCGGCGGGAGGGCGCGCAGACCACAGCCUCGGUGCCCCUCUGUGUCUCGGUUCCUCUUUCCUCCCCAAGUAAGGGAAUAAGCCCCGAGGAAGGAGCGCCCCGGGGAACCGCGCAACCAAGUGUUGCUUGGCGAGGAGGAGCAAGGAUUUCCGGCUACUGUGACUACGGAUAGAAGCAUGCUGUUGGAGUAAGGCACAGGCCUUCUCUCAUCUGCUGAGAGGUGCCCACUACCGCCAUAGACGCGUGGGUCCUCAAAGUCUCCCAAAGGGCCUGUCCAUCACGUACCUGCAAUGAGCCAGGCCCUGGGCUGGGCCUCAGCUUCAUCCUGGUGAACAAAACUCCAUCUCUGGCCUCAAGCACUCACACCCAGCUUAAAGAUGAGUGAUGAACGGUGGGUCUCCCUUACUCCAGAAGAAUUUGACCAACUCCAGAAAUAUUCAGAAUAUUCUUCCAAGAAGAUAAAGGAUGUCUUGGCUGAGUUUAAUGAGGGUGGGAGCCUCAAACAAUAUGACCCACAUGAGCCAAUUAGCUAUGAUGUCUUUAAGCUGUUCAUGAGGGCUUACCUGGAGGUGGACCUUCCUCAGCCACUGAGCAUGCACCUCUUCCUGGCCUUCAGCCAGAAGCCCAGACAGGAGACCCCCGACCACCCAAUGGAGGGGGCCAGCAAUGAGGCCAGUGGCCCAGAUACCAACAUACAGAAUGUGGAUAAUGCUGCCAAAGCAGAUGAGGCCUGUGCCCCCGAUACAGAAUCAAAGAUCACUGAGAAGCAAGUGCCAGCUAAAGACCAAGUGGCUGCAACCCUCCUAGGAAACCCUGUUGCUCCAUCUCCAGGCUCAGAAUCCCCAAUAGUAUACCUGAAGGAUGUCGUGUGUUACCUGUCCCUACUGGAGACUGGGAGACCGCAGGAUAAGCUGGAAUUCAUGUUUCGUCUCUAUGAUUCGGAUGAGAACGGUCUCCUGGACCAAGCGGAGAUGGAUCGUAUUGUCAACCAGAUGCUUCAUAUCGCCCAGUAUCUGGAAUGGGAUCCCACUGAACUAAGGCCUAUACUGAAGGAGAUGUUGCAAGGGAUGGACUAUGACCAGGACGGCUUUGUGUCGCUAGAGGAAUGGGUCCAUGGAGGGAUGACCACCAUCCCACUGCUGGUCCUGCUGGGCAUGGAUGACUCUGGCUCCAAGGGGGACGGGAGGCACGCCUGGACCAUGAAGCAUUUCAAGAAGCCCACCUACUGCAACUUCUGCCACAUUAUGCUGAUGGGUGUUCGGAAGCAAGGCCUGUGCUGCGUUUACUGCAAAUAUACUGUCCAUGAACGCUGUGUAUCCAAAAACAUUCCUGGAUGUGUCAAAACAUGCUCAAAAACCAAAAGGGGCGGUGAGGUGAUGCAGCACGCGUGGGUAGAAGGGAACUCUUCCGUCAAGUGUGACCGGUGCCACAAAAGUAUCAAGUGCUACCAGAGCGUCACCGCGCGGCACUGCGUGUGGUGCCGGAUGACGUUUCACCGCAAAUGUGAAUUAUCAACACUGUGUGAUGGUGGGGAACUGAGAGAUCAUAUUUUGCUGCCUACUUCAAUAUGCCCUGUGACCCGGGACAGGCAAGGUGGAAAGUCUGAUGGCAGCGCAUCAGCCAAGGGUGAACUUGUAAUGCAGUAUAAGAUCAUCCCCACCCCGGGUACCCACCCCCUGCUGGUCUUGGUGAACCCCAAGAGUGGAGGGAGACAAGGAGAAAGAAUUCUUCGGAAAUUCCACUAUCUGCUCAACCCCAAACAAGUUUUCAACCUGGACAAUGGGGGUCCUACUCCAGGAUUGAACUUUUUCCGUGAUACUCCAGACUUCCGUGUUUUAGCCUGCGGAGGAGAUGGGACAGUUGGCUGGAUUUUGGAUUGCAUUGAUAAGGCCAACUUUGCAAAGCAUCCGCCAGUGGCUGUCCUGCCUCUCGGAACAGGAAAUGACCUGGCCCGCUGUCUCCGCUGGGGAGGAGGUUAUGAAGGGGGCAGCUUGACAAAAAUCCUGAAGGACAUCGAGCAGAGCCCCUUGGUGAUGCUAGACCGCUGGCAUCUGGAAGUCAUCCCUAGAGAGGAAGUGGAGAAUGGGGACCAGGUCCCGUACAACAUCAUGAACAACUAUUUCUCCAUUGGUGUGGAUGCUUCCAUCGCACACAGAUUCCACGUGAUGAGAGAGAAACACCCUGAAAAAUUCAACAGCAGGAUGAAAAAUAAACUGUGGUAUUUUGAAUUUGGCACCUCGGAGACCUUUGCAGCUACCUGCAAGAAGCUCCAUGACCACAUAGAGUUGGAGUGUGAUGGGGUCGAGGUAGACCUGAGCAACAUCUUCCUGGAGGGCAUUGCCAUUCUCAACAUUCCCAGCAUGUACGGUGGCACCAAUCUCUGGGGAGAGACCAAGAAGAGCCGGGCUGUGAUCCGGGAAAGUAGGAGAGUCGUCACUGACCCCAAGGAACUGAAAUUCUGUGUCCAAGACCUCAGUGACCAGCUCCUUGAAGUGGUGGGGCUGGAGGGAGCCAUGGAGAUGGGGCAGAUCUACACCGGCCUGAAGAGUGCGGGCAGGAGGCUGGCCCAGUGCUCCUCUGUCAUCAUCAGGACAAACAAGCUGCUGCCCAUGCAAGUGGAUGGAGAGCCCUGGAUGCAGCCACCUUGCACGAUUAAAAUUACCCACAAGAAUCAAGCGCCUAUGAUGAUGGGGCCUCCGCAGAAGAGCAGCUUCUUUUCACUGAGGAGGAAGAGCCGUUCAAAAGACUAAAUAAUAUGCCAAACGCCAGUUAAACCAAGAGAGAAAACAAGAGACUAUAACACACACACACACACAUGCACACACAACGCACACACAUGCACACUCAUCUCUAACCGGUGGAAGCAAAGCCACCCAUCAGGAAGAAAUCUUCAUCUUGCUGUACAUUCUGUCUACUUCAAUAAUGGGCACACCCCAGCAGAGCCAGUACCAAUGAAAAUUUUGAAUGGACUUAGGGCCUGCCAGGGUGUGGUUGGCUCAUAUGGCAACCUCCACAUUCCCAGAAGGCCCUGAGACUGAAGGAGAAAUCCCUCUCUCUUCCCACCAGUCCUGUAAGUUCCCUCAUGGACGCUCACAAGAAGCAGGCUGCAGGUUUCCUGCCUGGUGAGAUCGGAUGUGGCCAGGGAAAAGAGCUCCCAUUCCAGAGAAUUUACACAAAGGUCCCUCUGUACAGAGACAAACGGCCUCCAACUCUCAGAGCAGAGCCCUUGGCAGGGCUCAGCAAGCGCACGUUGGUUUCUUAGUUGUCCUUCAAGCAGCAGCGUCUCCCUGAACUUGCUGAGGAGGCAGAAAGGCUGUGGAAAGCUGUGUUUCCAUUCUUGGUUCUCCACACACUGUCAGUGGGCACUUGUUAUUUUCCCAAAGUCUUCUUCUGGUGGCUGUGUGUUUGUUUAGAGACGGCUCCAAGAGCCCCCAGAGCUGCCUGCACAGCACACCUUAGAUGUGGUAUUUAUUUUCUUAGUUCUGUGAACACCUGGGAGGGAAAGCAGAGAAACUGGGAUUUAUUUUUCAAAUUGGUGUCAUAAUAUUGUGUAAAAAGGGAAGAAAAAAAAAACCACCCCCAGUUUCUUUCUUUUUCAAGCCAAAGCGUGUUUCCUGUUUGAGUUCCAAGCCCUGGUGGCAGACUAUUCCUGAAGGCAGAGAAGAUGAGAAGGAAGGGCCUCUUGCUGAGAAGACCAGGAGACAAACCAUCAGGUGGUUCCCACCUGCCUCUUUGCACCUACUACUCCCAAAGUGUGACCUGAGGGCCCUUCUGAUGGUCUUAUGUGUGUGUGUACAUAUAUGUAGCAUAUAUAUUUAUAUAUACAUGUAUAUAUAAAUAUUUAUUUACUGAUGGACUUUUCCUGAUUUUGGGAAAAAAAUAUGUAGAAUAGGAACAGAAAGUGGGAAAGAAAAAGAAGGUUCUUACUCCCCCAUUCCACCAUUUCAUUGUCAAGACACAUUUCCCCGUGGUGAUCAUGAGAUUUAAGGGAAAUGAAAGUAGCUUCUUAUUGUAAAGAGACUAAGAAUUCCUAUUCUGGAUUCUCAAAAGAGCCGUGAAAGAUAUACUGGACAGAAUUUACUCUCUCAUUUGCCAGAUAGAGACGAUGAGUCUCAGAAAAGUUAGGAGACCUGUCCAUGGCAUCUUAACUAAUGUGGUUUGGGAAUAGGUGCCAUUAAGAGGAUAUUUAUUAGAAAAAAGAACCCACGCGUCUUACAAUAGGGUCAUUUCUGGUCACUGAGAAAUUGUUCCAUUCGAAUCCAGGUUUCCAGGGAAGAAUGAAUGUGUAGCACAUGUGUGGAUGGGACAGGCCCACACAAGAAAAUGAGGGCCUCAUGAUGCUUCCAGAGAUUCUUUCUGGCCUGAACUGGUAAGAAGUUGGUCGGGGUUAAAGGCACCAGACAGAUCACCAGAUUAAAUUCUCCACAUGUCAACUCAUCAUGGUCAUCAUGGCCGCUUAGCUUGGAAACACCUCUGGCUGCAGGGAUGACCUCAGUGGAGACUCACAAGGACCAAGGCACAUUCUGCAAGGUGCUGCCACCCAGCACCUGGAGGGGUCUUGGCAGAGCCCAGUGGGCUUUAUGCAGCUGGUGCCAGCAUUACCCUCCUUUCCCGAGGGCAAGUCUGUGUAGAGCUUCAUUAGUAGGCAGAAACAUUUGCCUUGGCACCUUUGCUCCAUUGGACCUCCAUCCCCUCUGAGAUUUCUUGAAAGGAAACUUGGGCCCACUCGACAUUACUCCACUGAGCCCUCUCUAAUCUUGCACUGAGUCAGGAGUUUUGCACAAGGAAGGGAAAUUAAGAUUGUGUGUACACAUUGAUCCUGACUCUGAAGGAAGCAGUCAUCUAGGACCAUCCUGCUGGACCUAACGGUGCGAAACCGGUGGGUGAGGGGAAAUCCAGGCCAC